rnacentral:rRNA from 1 species
GUUGGCGACCAAAGCGGAGAGGCUAUACCCAAACCCAUCCCGAACUUGGAAGUCAAGCUCUCCAGCGAUUUGCCAAGUACUGAUGUAUCGGGAACGGUAAGACGUUGCUGACC